AGGAUUCAUAACCAUGUGAUCAAAUUAAAUUGAAUGACCACUAAGAUUCCUUCCCAUUCGAUUGUGAACUCCUUGAGGGACUGGUAAACAUGAUAAGCAUGGAAAUAAUGAGAGGCAGAUAUUCAUGGCUAGCUGUUGCCUGGAGUGGAAGAAUUUUAAGCAACACAAGAUGAGAGGACUGAAACAAUUAAUGCAAACAUACCUGAACUACUAUCUAGUCUUAUGGCUGUUGGAUGGUUUCCUGAUGCUACUGAUUACUUUGGGGAAGUGGAAUUUAUAUUACUUUACAAAUCACAGAAGAAUCACAGAAAGAGUUGAC
ensembl:lncRNA